rnacentral:lncRNA from 1 species
UUAAGCCAUGCUGCUCUCUUAUCCAAGGCUUGGCUGACCUUGAGGCUGCGGUCUGCCUUUGCACUGCUCUCAAGGUUAACAUUCUUGGAAUCAACCUUAACCUUCCCAUCGAUCUCAGCGUUCUCCUCAAUGUUUGCAGUAGAAAAGCUCCAAAGAACUUCCAGUGCGCUUAAGUUUAAAACAUAGCUACUAAAUAAAUGAUUCAUACAGUUUAUGAAUUUUUGAACCUAUUUUCUUAUCAAGCUAUAUUUUUCUUGUUGUAAUUUCCCCGUAUUGUUUAUGAUGAACGUACUCUCCCAUGCAAUAAUGGGUAAUGCAUGGGUUUGUGUGUGCAUGUACUUCUUUGCUUUGUUGUUCCUCCAUCUCUUCUUUAAUUUGUAAGUGUAUUUUUUGAAUUUGAUUAAUAAAAGUAUUAAUCGAUGUCGUUGUCUAUAUUGCAAUCUUCGGUGUCAGCAUUAAGACAUGCAUGUACUGAAGUACAUCCGACCAUUUUGACAAAAGGCAACAUACAGUAUUUUGGCAAGAAUUGUGUGGAAGUUCCUGAGAAUUAGAUUUUUGGUCAUGCACACGUGUAUUUAGGAGUAUUCAUAUUAAGAAGAAUAUACAAACAGUAUUCAGCGAUUAAUUAAUUCUUCAUCAAAAAGCCAUGCAUGGUCUACAGCGUCAAUAGCAACAUUAUUGAUAUGGUCUAUAAGAAGGUAACUUGAUAUUGGUGAUACCAUAAAAAGUUAUAAUUAAACUUUGUUAACAGGCCGGUCCAAUGUUUCCUUUUCUUGGAUGCCUUACACACAACUAAGAAACUAAGCGGGUUAAGUCAGCUCUCACAGUAAGAUCGAAUAGUACCAUUAUUGAUGGUCUUUUACACAAUUCUUAGCAUAAAAUUUUCUUAAAAAAUCACGAAGAAAAAUGGCCUAACUAAAUCCAAAAGCUGGUUAAACUUCAAAUAAAUAAGAGUAAAUAAAUUUUAGAAUACACAGAUUUUAUAUGAACGAUAUAUAGCUGUAGAGAGUUUGAAUUAUGAUCUUUCAUAUAUUUAUACAUGAUAUAUAUAUAUAUAUAUGUAUAGAUGUUAUAAUUUUUAUAAUCAAAAUUAAUCAUUGUUAUUUAAAGAAUGAGACAUUUAUUUUUCAAUGAGGGAUUUUUGACAUAAAUAAUGACUUCCUAACUAUAUAUCUUCACAAAAUUUCAUUAUAACUUUUUUUUAGCUCAAUGCAAUAAGAUCGGUUUCAUGUAGUUUUCAUUUUUAAAACUAAAAAAUCAUUUUCUUUCAUUUUUAACUUCUGCCCUGAUGAGAAUUCAAAAGACAUACCAAUACUCUAGAUAGUUUGUAUAUGUCAAUUAAACUUUUGGCCAGUUUGAAUUUUUAUGUGUUAACAAAUAUUAUGAAGUGUGAACUAUGUUUUUUCUGUAGCAAAAAAUAAUUAUGAAAACCUAAGCAUCAGAAUUUACGUGGUAUUAUCUUUGGACAUCCAUAUAUGUCGGGUCAACUUUCAAAAACAAAAAGAUACAGCAAAAGUUCAACUUUGAUCAUUGAUUUUAUGCCAUUACUAUAAGUCUAUAUGUCUGUAUGUAGUCUUUACAAUUAUAUUUUGUUUUAUUCCUUUCGUAAGAUCAUUUCCAAUAUCAUCUUAUUAUAUAUAAUUUUUUUAAUUCAAAAUAGAACAUAGAGUUAAUCUUUAAUGCACGACUCUAUAUAUUUACUCUAUAAUAGUGUAGCCGAAAGAUUUAAGAUGAAACAUGCAUAUAUUAAUCUUCUGUAAAUCAUAUGGUGACAUAUAAAUAAUUAUGUUCAUUAAGAGUUAACGUCGUGCCUAAGUGCUUUAAUUUUAAAAUAUUGUAUUCGUACAAACUUUAUUUAGAAAUACUAUUGCAUUGUCGCUAAUUAAAGAGAAAUAGUGAAAUACCUUAUAUUAAAAAAGUAUAAUAAGAAAUAAAGAAUAAAAUUGACCAAUCAAUUCUAUAGUAAAGAACGAUUUGGCAUGAUGAUUAUCAUAUUAUUACAAGCCUGUCGAAGGAAUAACUAAAUUCUCGAUCUCCCGUAUAGCUAUUACCCCUGAACCAUACAUUAGCAUGUUCGACCUUAUUUAUAUAUAAUCCGAGUAUAACAGAUGAUACCACUAAUACAGGAAACUAUAUGUUAUUUAUUCAGCAAAAUGAUUAAAAUAAUAUGAUCUCGCACAUAUAUAUCAGUCAAUAUGAAUCAUAGAAACUAAUAUACUGUCCGACAAAGAAAUAACGACGAUGAUCUUGUCGUUAUAACACCUUAAUCUAUCUAUAUAUAUAAAGUUAAUUUUUUCUCUCUUCUCCUUAAGCCACAUCAUCAUCCACCUCAUUUUAUUAUUUAAUUUUAAAAAUUAAUUAUACCAUUUUAUCAUUUAAUUUUAAUAUUUAAACCUAUGUAAAUAAGUUUUUCCAAAAUGAAUAUGAAAGGUCUUUUUAUAUAUUAUAUAUUAUAAAACUAAAAAAGAUAAUUGAUUAAGAGUUAAAAAAACUUACUAAUUAUCGAUUAUACUAACAAAUAUAAUGUAUAAUAUAAAUCCCACAUCAUCAUUCAUCUUAAUUUUUUAUAUUGAUUUAGAAUUACAACACUUUAGUUUUUAAUUUCUUUUCUACCUCAUAACUUAGCUUUUAUUUUAUUUUAUAUUCAAUAGUGGUUUUAAGAAAAUAAAUAAUAUAGUAAAAACAUUUAUGUCCAAAAUAAAUAAAACAAGUAUCUAUUUAUAAAGUAAUGAUCAAUUUUUUGAUUAAUGGGGCUAAAUAUAAAAACAAAAUACAAAGCAAGGAUAUUUAUACUAUACAGAUAGAUAUACCACUAAAUUGAUGUCAUCCGAAGCCACCUCAAACGAAAACACAACCGAUUUUAGGCAUAAGAAGUAGAAAAAAACUAAAAAGUAAAAUGAAAACACUUGGAUAAAUAAAUAAGUGGAUUCACCAGAAUAAUUUGGCCUACAAGAAUUGAAUGCUUUUGAAAUGUAAGGUUCUAACAGCUACUAUUUGACCUAAAUCAAAGUUAAACAAAUAAAAAUAAACAUUUCAUAUACUAAAUUAAUACCAAAACAACAGUAAAAACAAAAAAAAUAAACAAAAAACAAAGAAAAAUCAAACUAUAAAUUUUAAAAUAUAAAAUUUAAAAUAUAAAAAACAAUUAUAAAACUCCCGCGCGCAGCGCGGGUCAACAACUAGUAUACAUAUAAAGUUAGCUUUUUCUCUCUUCUCAUUCUCAUGAUGCCACCUAAGCAUCUACCUAAGCCACAUUUUGUUUUACAUUAAAAUAUAUUUUAAACAUUCAUUUAGUGCAUAUUUAUGCUACUUAUUUAAUUAAUAGAAAAUUAUAUAAAUAAAAAUAAAUUAUGUAAAUAAAUGAAAUGUUAAAUAAGAAAUACUUCCAUUUUUAUUAGUUAGUGGUAAUAAUAUAAUUCAACUUUCAUUUUAAAUUGAUCAUAGUUUAAAAUUUUAAAUGUGUUACUGAGUUUAAGAAUGUAAGUAAAUUUUAAAUUUAUGGUAGAAUAAAAACAACAUUUAUGUAAUUGUAUAUAUAAAAUUUUAAAGGGAAAAAGUAAAAUUGAAAGUGAAAUAUUAGUUUAUAACCUGAUCAAUAAGAAAAUGCUAUUAAUCCAAAUUUAAAUAUUAAAAGAUAAUAAUUCAAGAGAAAAUAACUAUAAUAUGUUUUGAAAAUCAAUAAAAAAUUAAAUAUCACAAUAUGAAUAAAAAAUUAACAAAAAAAUUAUAAACCUCCCGCGCGUAACGCGGGUCAACUGCUAGUAUAUGAUAUAAUUCUCUAACAAUUAUAUUACAUAAUUUAUUUGGAAAUUGCUAUCUUUCCAAAAAAUUUCUUUUUUUAAAUAAUCAAAGAGGUUUUGGGCCGAAACUCAUACAUCUUCUCAGGUCCAAAACCAAAGCAUAUUAUAUGGUUUCGUCCCAAGCGCUAAUCGAACCAGCGAUCUUCUAAGCGUUUGACAGAAAUCUUUACUAAUUGAUCUAUUACCAUUUGGUUAUCUUUUCAAAUUUGAAAAGUUGCAAUUUGUAAGUACUCGGAUAUUUUUAAGUUCGAUAAAUUCAGAUUAUAUAUAUCUUUUUAAGUUAGACAAGAACUUUUUUUUUGUUUUUUUCACACUAUGAAGCUGACCUUUUGAUGCCAAAUUUUUGCUAAACCCAUCUAAACAAUACUAACAGUGAAAUAUUUUUAACCAAAAGAAAAAUCGAAACUUGUCUAUCUGUCCAUCUUGUAACCUCUGUUAUACGGAAUGAUUUGAUAAGUCCAACAAUUUGAGAUUCUUAAAAAUAUGAUCUACUAAAAAUGAAGUCAGAAACUUUGUCUUUGUGUGAUAUUAGUCUGCCUCGUGACAAAGGAUAAGAUAUUUUCAAAUGGACAAGCGUACGUGAAGGAAUAAGGAAAGUCAUUUCAAAUUUUAGUCUUCAGUAACAAAUGUUUAUUAAUAUAAUUACGAGAAAACAGAAUCCUAGAAGUCUAGAACAUAUAUUCAUGCUAAUGUAGGUAAUAUAUUUGAUUAUAACUUGGUGCUAUACUACUAACUAUGGAAUAAUUGUUCUUUACUAACGCAAAAAUAAUAGUGUGUAAUCCAAAAAGUUACAAAAUCGAAUGACAACUGAUCAUACAUAUAAAAAUUCACACAAAAAUAAAAACAUGUUGGGUUCAAUUCUUUAACCCAAACCAACUUUUCCAUUAGUAUGAUAUUGUCUGCUUUAAGCCUAUAACUCAAGGCCGCACGGAUUUGUUAGACUCCUUCCCAAAAAGUCUCAUACUAAUUGGAGUUGGAGUCGACUUAUAUAUUAGAAACUUCUCUUUCUAAUCUUCCGAUAUGGGAUAUUGGUUUGUAUUCCAAUAAAGCAUACAUAAAAAAAAUUAGUCUACUACAUCUAAGUUAUUAAAUAAUAUUGGAACCAUGUACUCUUCGAGAUUACCAGCUAAUUUGAUCAAUGACAGUUAAAUUUUUAAAAAUUAAAUCGUAUAUAUAAGAAAAUUAGUCUAUUAAUUAAUCCACUAUCAAAGACAAAUUAUCAAUUAAACCUUCACAAUUCUCUCCUAAAGAUAGACACUAAAAACUUAAUAUUUCUCUCCACCCAUCUCAAACAAACUUAAACGCAAUACUACUUCGUGAGCCUUUUCAACUGCAAAAACAAAUGGCUCCCUCUCCCUUGUACUCUUCUUUUCUCUCAAAUUAUAAAUGCCAUUAAGAAAAAACUUUGCUUUUUGAAUAUGAUCUUUUAAGAAUUAGCAUUGCAUGCCUCUAUCAUUACCACCACAUUAUAUAUAUAUAUAUAUAUAUAUAUAUAUAUAUAUAUAUUACCUGGUUUCUACUAUUUAAACCAUAUCAAUUUCUUUCAUUUUUCAUGUUUUUUAUAGAUAUAUUAUGAAAAUAAUGAAAGAAAAAGUCAUUAUGAUGGCAUGAUGGUUAUCACUAGUACACGAAACUAUAUAUAUGUUAUUUAUUUAGCAAAGGGAUAAAAGUAGUAUGAUCUCGCACAAUAUAAAUUAAUCAUAUACACGUAUUAUCCAAAAGUGAAAUAACAAUUAUUUUAUUCAUAUUGGACAUUACUAAAUUUCCUCUAAAAUUUGCAAAGUUAAUGGAGUAGUAAUUAGAAUAGUUAUAUGAAGUAUUAUUUAGGCGAAUUUGGAAAUUUUUUGUUUUUUUUUCACACUAAUAAAAGUCUACGUUGAAAUCAUACAAUUAAGACUACUAAUUAAUAGAAAUAUCUCAUGUGCAAAACAAAAUCCAAACUAGUCUAUCUGUCCUUCUAGAGUUAUACGGAAUGGUUUAAUAAGUCCGACCAUUUGAGAAUACUCAUACAACUAUCACAUGGAAAUUAAUUAGUAAUAAACUUUGUCUUCGUCUGAGAGAUUAUCUGUAAACCAAAUGAUGUUUAAGAAAUAAUCCAAACUAGUCUAUCUGUCAAUCUAGUAGUUAUAGAAGUGUGUCUGUAUUCUAAUUAGAAAUUGCACAUGUUAUGAAAUAACAGAUAACCAAAUGUAUAAUUCUUUAAGGCUUUUAGAUAGUAAUUUAUCUCAUAUCCUCAUUGCAAAAUAGCCAGAAAUUUAAUUUUUAUUUUUAUAUACUUUUAAUAAUCGUAAACAUAAAAUAAUAUAUUUCUUUUUAAUACUUUUAAUAAUCGUGAAGGCUCGUAGAUAGUUUUAUAUAACUCGAAAACUUGGGAUUUGUCUAGUUAAUUAGUUUAUAGGAUCGACUUAACCACCAAAUUUCUUUUAUGGAUGAUAUAUUGUGUUUUUAUCGGUUUUAAGUCUUUUUUUUCUUUUUCAUUUUAUAACUUUUAUUGAGUCAAAGUGUCUUUUUAGAGUCUUUUAGUCCAUUAUAGAGUUCUUACAGGUUUUAGGUUGCUUUGGAAUAAAACGAGCUGUUUUGGGAAGCAAACACACAUUUGGAGAUGCAGAUUCAUGUAGAAGUGUCAGAUGUUUGGGAUCAGAUGAACAACUUUCCACCGUUAGAUCUUUUUCAUAUUUUGACACAAGAUGAAGACAGAUGUUAGCUUUCAUUUUCAAGUGACUUGAAAGAAAUCUAACGGUUAAUUCAAGAGUUACACCCGAUUUCGUGAAUACAGGUCAUUCUGACGAGUAACUGAAGUAGAUGCAGAUUGAAACCUGAGAGUCCCAGACCGAUCGGUCUACACCCGGGACCGAUCGAUCCCUUACCUCUGACGUAUUUUUGGGCCCUUAUUCGAUCCGAAACAUACCCAACUCGUCUCCUAUUGUUUUUAAACCCUAGGCUCGACUUUUGAGCAGCUAUCCUUCAUAUUUUUGAGUUCUAAACAUUGUUCUUUGCUUUCUAAACAAUUUUGGGAGAAGAAUCAAUCAUCUUGACACUUGGAGAAGAUUUCUAAACCCUUUCUUAUUAUAUUUGCAAUUUCAUCAUGUUUUCUUUCAUAUCUAUUUGCUUUGUUUCAAUUGCUAUGUCUGAGUAGUCUCUUAAUUGGGUUUUAGGGUUUCAAGUAGGAGAAUUCAAUGAUUUGAUAGAUUGGAUGUAUUAGGGAAUUCUUAAUCUUUAGGUUCUUCAAUUUACAUGUUCAAAAUGCUAGAAUAGGAUUGAUCACCCUGUUUUAGAACUUAGGCUUUUAUGUGUUUCAGAGAUGUUCAAUAAAAUGCCUGAAUGAAUGUAAAUUGAGCAUUGUAUUUCUAACCUGCGAGAGUUGAUGUUAGAACGCUUUGUGAACCAAAUGAACCUGUUUGAUAAUGCAAAUUUGGCUAGCAAAUUACAAAUGAGAGUUUAGUAAUUGAAUAGUUAAAAUUUAUUGACUAAUGUCUUGAGAGAGAAUUAGUCUAAACUUCUGUUCAUGUUCAAGAACGGUUCUUCAUGUUUGAAUUCCUUAUUGCUUUUAUUUGUUAUUCAUUGAUUCUCUGAAAUUACCCUGCAGCCCAAUAUCUUUAAUUCAUAAGUUUAAUCUCUUUAUUUGCAUUUUUAUUUACAAAAACUGAAAACCGAACAACAAGUCUUUUCCGCUUUAGCUGAUAACGAGUCUCGAAAGUCUUUAGUGUACAAUUGCUCCUUGUGAUCGAUCCCGCAUAUACUUUACUUCGGUUAAGUUAUCGGGUUAAAUACUCGAGUAAUCAAUGGAUAUACAAAGUAGAACCAAUAUACUCUUAGCGAUUACCAGCUAAUCUGAAUUAACCAUGGAAAUUAUUAAGUGUUCUUUAAUAAUCAAAUCAUAUCUAUAAAAAAUGAGUCAACUAAUCCACCUAUUAAAGACAAAUUAUCAAUUAAACAUUCACAUUUCUCUCCUAACGAAAACCCUAUAAAUACACACUAAAAGCUUUACAUUUCUCUCCACCCAUCUCAAACAAACUUAAAAGCACUACUACUUCUUGAGCCUUUUAAACUGCACAAACAAAUGGCUCCAAGAAUCUCCCUUGCACUCUUCCUUUCCCUUAACCUCCUCUUCUUCACUUACACCUCUGCGACCACUCCGAGCAGAAGGACUUGUCCUAAAGAUUCCCUAAAACUCGGUGUUUGCGCCAAUGUGCUCAAGCUUGUGGACCUAAAAUUGGGAAACCCACCUGUGAAGCCAUGCUGCUCUCUCAUCCAAGGCUUGGCUGACCUUGAGGCUGCUGUCUGCCUCUGCACUGUGCUCAAGGCUAACGUUCUUGGAAUCAACCUUAACCUUCCUAUCGAUCUCAGCGUUCUCCUCAAUGUUUGCAGUAGAAAAGCUCCAAAGAACUUCCAGUGCGCCUAAGUGAAAAAACUUAUGGCAUACCUACAUACAUUUGAUGAAGUCUCGAACUUAUAUUCUUUUCCUCAUGUUUUACUUUAAGGUGAUCUAUUUUUUUGUAUUUUUCUUGACUUUUUAAAAAUGAACGUACGUUUUCAUGUAAUAAUGGAUACUGCAUGGGUUUGUCCUGUCUGUGCAUGUAAUCGGCAAAUUUGUACUCCUUUACUUCAUUGUUCCUUUAUAUCCUCUUUGCAACUGUAUUCUUCGAAUUUUACUUAUAAAUUCAUUUCUCACUAUGAUUAAAUUUUAACUUAACAAUUAAAAAUCCCCACUGAACACCAAAUUAUAUUUUCACCAAAACACUACAAUAUUAAUUCAAGGCUCUUCGAAAGAGUCCGCUCCGGUUUUCUACCAUUGUCAACUCCGUGUGGUGGCCCUCUGGGGAGAAGUCCACUCUGAAACACUUCGGUGUGUUUCUACCGCGACUGACCGGAUCAGUCGAUAGGAUUUAUAUAUAAAAAAAAAUUCAUAAUCAAUGUCAAUUUUUAACAAGUAAGCUGAUCAUUGUUUUCAUAUACUAUUUUAGGAGUCAUUUGUCUUUCAAUAUAGAAAUUUCAAAACAAAUGACUUUCUAACUAUUUAUCUAGAAUAAAUUUCAUUAUGAAAUUAAGUUUUUCUCAGUAUGAUCUAUCAAUUUCACGCAAUAAAAAUUUCACUUGUAAUCGAUCCGAUAAACAUUGGGUCAGCAAAAUUUUGGUUUGAUUUCUGGUAGCAUGUGUCAAGCUAUAUGAAAAUGAAUGGAUUUCCGACUCAAAAACAAUUGACAGUCAGUAAAUUAACUGUAUAUUUCCCUAUAUAUUACAUUAGGUUUUUUAUAUUUUUUCCUUUACUUUCAAUCUUGAUUUGAUUAACCUGCUGAGAUAUUGAAAAGAACAUACUUUUUUCUUUUCUUUUUUUAACUUAAAAAAAAAAUCUGAUCCAAUAAGAAUUAAAAGAACACCACUAGUUGAAUAUACGAUUUGAAGAUAAUUCAUAUUUUAUUGUUGUAUAUGUAAAAUUUAAAGUUUACUCUUUAAGGUUUAGGGUUUAAAAUUGUAACAAGUUUGAAUUAUGAUUUUUUUAAAGAAUAUAAUGAAGUGUGAAGCGUGUUUUUUUGGUAACAUAUAAUAUUCUAUGAAAACCUAAACAUUAUGGCUAUUUGGUAUACAGUACUAUUGCUUAUGUGAAUAAAAUCUUUGCACAUCCCAAAAGUCUCGGGUCAACUUUCAAAAAGAAAAAUAUACAGCAAAAUUUCAACUUUGUAUUCACUUAAUUAUUGUUUAGAAAUUAUGAUCAUUGAUUUUAUUAAUUCCAGUAAUACAGAAGUAUGUUUUUAUUCCUUUUUCUAAAAGAAAAUGUAUAAUAGUUACUUUUGAUGUGUUAACCACCUAUAGUCUCCUAUCAAUUUCUUUAAUUCAUUCUUCACGUCUUUAUAGAUAUACUAUGUAAUUAAUAAAAGAAAAUUUCAUUAUUGUAAAAAAAAAAAGGAAUAGAUUUUGGCAUGAUGAUUAUCACGAAACUAUAUAUAUGUUAUUUAUUUAGCAAAGUGAUAAAAUAGUAUGAUCUCGCAUAUACAUCUUAUUCGAUAUAACUCAUAUAGACGUAUUAUCCGAAAGAUAAAAUAACAAAUUUUUUUUUCAUAUUGAACAUUACUUUCCUUUUAAAUUUGGAGUAAAGUAUUAUUUUGACGAAUUUGGAUUUUUUUUUUUCACACUAUCAAAUUGAACUUUGAUGUCAUAUUUGUGCUAAACCAUCUAAUAAAGUCUAACGCUGAGACUACCAAUACAAAUAUCACAUGUCGUCAAAACAAAUUCCAAACAAGUCCCAUCUGUUCUUCAAAUUAUACGGAAUGAUUUCAUAAGUCCAACCAUUUGAGACUACUAAAUACAAUUAUAACAUGGUAAUGAAGUAAUAAACUUUGUCUUCGUUUGAGAUAUUAUCUGUAAGCUAAAUGAUGUUUUAGAAACAAUCCAAACUAGUCUAUCUGCUCAAUCUAGUAAUAAUAGAAGUGUGUAUGUAUUCUUAUUAGAACUUGCACAUGUUUUGAAAUAAUACAUAACCAAAUGUAUGAUGAUGUCUAAGGCUUUUAGAUGGUAAUUAUAUUCUCAUUGAAAAAUAACCAGAAAGAAAAAGAAAAUAUUAUUUUUAUAUGCUUUUAAUAAAAUAUAAAAUAGAUAAAUAUUUUUUAUACUUUUAAUAAUAAUCGUGAAGGCUCGAAAAUAGAUCGAUAUAAUUUGAAAACUUGGGAGUUUUCUGGUUAAUUAGUUUAGAAGAUCGACUUCAACCACCAAAUUUCUUUUAUGGAUACACAAAUUAGAACAAUAUACUCAUUACCAGCUAAUUUGACCAAUGAGAAUUAAGAGUUCUUUAAUAAUCAAAUCAUAUCUAUAAAAAAUGAGUCAACUAAUCCCUUAUUGAGACAAAUUAUCAAUUAAACCUUUACAUUUCUCUCUUAUUGAAAAUUCUAUAAAUAGACGCUAAAGCUUAACAUAUCUCUCCACCCAUCUCAAACAAACUUAAAAGCACUACUACUUCUUGAGCCUUUUAAACUGCACAAACAAAUGGCUCCAAGAAUCUCCCUUGCACUCUUCCUUUCCCUCAACCUCCUCUUCUUCACUUACACCUCUGCGACCACCCCGAGCAGAAGGACUUGUCCUAAAGAUUCCCUACAACUCGGUGUUUGCGCCAAUGUACUCAAGCUAGUGGACCUAACAUUGGGAAACCCACCAGUAAAGCCAUGCUGCUCUCUCAUCCAAGGCUUGGCUGACCUUGAGGCUGCUGUCUGCCUCUGCACUGUGCUCAAGGCUAACGUUCUUGGAAUCAACCUUAACCUUCCCAUUGAUCUAAGCGUUCUCCUCAAUGUUUGCAGUAGAAAAGCUCCAAAGAACUUCCAGUGCGCGUAAGUGAAAAAACUUAUGGCAUACCUAUAAAAUAAACGAAUCAUACGUUUAAUGAAGUCUCGAACUUAUAGUCUUUUCUUCAUGUUUUAUGUUAAGGUGAUCUAUUUUUUGUAUUUUUCUUGAAUUGUUAACGUACGUUUUCAUGUAAUAAUGGAUACUACAUGGGUUUGUCUAUGCAUGUAAUCGGCAAAUUUGUUCUCCUUUGCUUCAUUGUUCCUUUUUAUCUUCUUUGUAACUGUAUUUUUCGAAUUUUACUUAUAAAUUCACUUCUCACUAUGAUUAAAUUUUAACUUAAACCUCUUUAACCAAUCAAACCUUAGCUUUCUCCUCAUCGUUUGCGGCAGAAAGGCUACACGUGGGUUCCAAUGCCCUUAUUUAAAAAAGUUAAUUUCUAAAACUCUUGAAACUGUUUACAAAAAUGUAAACUGUUUGCCGUAAGACCUCACAAUAAUAAGAUCGGCGGAUUAAACCCAAAAGCCUGUUAAAUCUUAAACAAACAGCGACUUGAAUGGUUUUUUUAAUAAGAAAACCAUGUUUUAGAUGUGAAUUAUAUAUAUAGCAGUCGCAAUUUGGGAUUAUCUGUGUUAUAUUUACAAAUAUGUUUAGGUUUCGUAAGAUUCAUAAUCAUUAAUCAAUGUCAAUUCGUAACGAGUAAACUGAUCACUGUUUUCAUAUACUACUUUUUAUACCAAAAUUGAAAAGCACAUGUAUUAAACGUCCAAAAAAUCAUAGAUGGCGAAUUUUUAGUUUUUUUCUCUUUUUUCUUUUGUUUUUGAUUUAUUUUAAAAUUCUGACCCAAUAAGAAUUAAAAGAACAUUAAUAGUUGUAUAUACUUUGAAUAUAAUUCAUAUUCUGUUGUUGUAUAUGUGAAAUUUAACGUUUAUUCUUUAGGUUUCAGGGUUUAAAAUAUUGUAACGAAUUUGAAUUAUGAUUUGUUAACGAAUAUUAUCAAGUGUGAAGCAUGUUUUUUUGGUAACAUAUUAAUAUCCUAUGAAAACCUAAGCAUCAUGGUUAUUUGGUAUAAAGAUUUGCUUAUGUUAAUCAAAUCUUUGCACAUCCCAAAAAUAUCGGGUCAACUUUCAAAAAGAAAAAGAUUCAGCAAAAGUUUAACAUUUUUUUUCAGUUCAUUAUUGUUUAUAUCAUUGAUUUUAUUCCAUUAUUACCUGUAUGUAUUUAGUCUUACACAGGUAUGUUUUUAUUCCUUUUUCUAAGAAAACUAGGCUCGGACCCGCGCUACAGCGCGGGGGAAAAGUGUCGGUUUUUGUUUUUUUUCCGAAUUACGUAAACUUUUAACUGUUAAAAUGGAUUGUUGGUGUUGAAUUUGGCAAGUAUGAGAAUAUGUACUAUCGUGGAUGUGUACUUUGUCACGUUUGCUAGGUUUAAAUCCGCGCUACAACACGAAAGAAUAUUUUCAAGUUUAUUUUAUUUUAACGUGUUUUGUCGUAUGUGUUAUUAUUUCGUUCAUUUUAGUAUCAACAAUUAUUAUUUCGAAAUGUAUAUUUGGUUUCAAUUCUUUGAGAAAAGUGUGUUUUCGGAAAUUAAAUAUAAUAUUUUUAUAAACUAAAUAAAAGAACGUUUAUUAAACAAAUUGUAUAUUCACAAUGUAUGUGGUGACUAACUAACCAAUCAGCAAAAACCCGUGUAUUUAAAAAAAAAAUCAUGAAAAUAUAUGAUAUUGAAAAAUCAUGAAAAUCAUGUAUAUACAUGUAUCACACAAGAACAUAUGAGUUUGAAAGAUUUGUAUAUACUUGUAUCCUAUAAAAAUAAAAUAAAAAUAUUAUUAUACUUCAUAUUGUAUAAGAGACCAUAAUAUUCUUGUUAUUAACAUAUUAAAAUAUUUAGAACAUUUUAAGGAAAAUUCAGAAUUUAAGGUAAUUUAUUUAAACUAACUUAUGGAAUAUAUUCUUUAUGACUGAUUUUGUAUUAGUAGUGAUUCGAUGAUUAAUAAUUACAAAGAUAAAAUAUUGUUAUUAAAGUAUUUUUAGUUAAUUAUAAUAAUUAUCCUAAAAUUUAAUUAUUUUUUUUGUAUCCAAAAUAUUUCAUAUUACUCAUUGAAAUAUAUUAAUGAUUGUAAAUUAUUUUUUUUUUCAAAAUUCAAAUAUAACCAUUUCUAGAUAUAUAUGGAUCUCUAUAAUUUUGCAUUAAUUAUGCUAUUGAUAAAAUAUUAUUCUUUUUUUAUAGGUAAUUCAAAUUGAUAAAGAUUAAAAUAAUUUUGAAACCUCUUUUCAUAUACUAUUUUUUUAUUCUGAUUAAAUCUUUUAUUUAACUAUUAGGGAAUGUAAAAAAUAAUAAUAANNNNNNNNNNNNNNNNNNNNNNNNNNNNNNNNNNNNNNNNNNNNNNNNNNNNNNNNNNNNNNNNNNNNNNNNNNNNNNNNNNNNNNNNNNNNNNNNNNNNNNNNNNNNNNNNNNNNNNNNNNNNUUUUAUUGAUUAUAUUACCAUUAUUUAUGUAUUUUAGAUGCAUUUUUAUAUUUGUUAUACCAAAUAUUUUUAAAUUAUAUUUUUCUAUAUAUCAAAUAUUUAAACUUAUAAAAAAUUAUAAUUUUUUUUGUUUUUUCAUAUAAGAAAUUAAUAUAAUAAUUAGAAUAUUUUUAAAAGAUUGAGAUCUUUAUAUUCAUAAACAAAUUUUCCUUAUAAGACAUAUUUUUAUAUUUAGCAUUAAUAUAGUUUCCUAAAUGAUAGGAAUCUGGUGUAUAUUAUUGAAAUAUUUGAAAAAUAUUUAACAAAAAAUUUGGCAAGUAUCCGAUUGAAACCCGGAAUAUUUUGAAAAACCCGACCCGAAUCCCUUGUGUACUUCUCUUUUACUAUAGUAGGGAUGUCUAAUAGUUACUUUCGUUUUGUUAAUUACCUAUAAUCUAUGGUGACAUAAAAAAAUAUUAUAUACGUUCAUUAAGAAAUAACUUUGCCUAUUGAGAAUUAGCUUUGCCUGGUUUAAACUAUUGAUUUUUAGACGAAUUUGAUUUUUUUUUUUUUCACACUAUCAAAUUGAACGUUAUAGGAUCGAUAUGAUUCGAGAACAUUGGAGUUGUCUAGUUAAUUAUUUCAUUUUAUAGGAUCGACUUUUACAGAUGACCAGCUAAUUAAAACAAUGACAAUUAAUUGUUUUCUAAUAAUCAAAUCAUAUCUAAAAAAAAUUAGUCAAAUAAUCCACCUAUUAAAGACAAAUUAUAAAUUAAACCUUCACAUUUCUCUCCUAAUGAAACCCCUAUAAAUAUACACGAAACAGUUAACAUCACCCAUCUCAACGAAACUUAAACGCACUACUAGUAAACUUCUCGAGCCUAUUCCUCUCCACAAUUACAAAUGGCUCCAAGAACCUCCCUUGCACUCUUCCUUUCUCUCAACCUUCUCUUCUUCACUUACGCCUCUGCGGCUUGUCCUAGAGACUCCCUACAGCUCGGUGUUUGCGCCAAAGUACUCUUGCAAGUGGAGCUAAAAUUUAACACAUCUUUAAAGCCAUGCUGCUCUCUCAUCCAAGGCUUGGCUGACCUUGAUGCUGCUGUAUGCCUCUGUGAUGUGCUCAAGACUAAGGUUCUUGGAACACCUCUUAACCUUCCCCUCAAUCCCAGCGUACUCCUCAGUGUUUGCGGUAGAGAAGCUCCAAACAACUUCCAGUGCGCGUAAGUUGAAUGGGUGUUUAUGAUGAACCUAUCUUCUUAUCUUCUUGUUUUAUGUUAAGGUGGUUUUUUUUUUUUUUUUGUAUUUUUCUUGAAUUCGUUUUCAUGCAAAUAUGCAAUAAUGGAUAUAAUGCAUGGGUUUGUGUAUGCAUGUAAUCGGCAAGUUUGUACUCCUUUACUUCAUUGUUCCUCUGUCCCUUCUUUGUAAUUAUUUUUUUUCGAAUUUGAUAUAAUAAUUUCACUUCUUACUAUAAUUAAAUUUUAACAUAAUUAGAAAUGAAAAAAAGCCAUAUUGGAAAAAUAAUAAUUAAGAUGCUUGGAAUCUCGGUGUUUAAUGAACUUGGUGAAUGUGACAUUAGUCAUUAAGUGCUUCUUAAUUUAGUUAAGCCGUGUAAAUGUAAUUGCAACCUCAUUGAAGGUUUCGCUGAUGACCUAGAAGCUGCGGUAUCAUCAUUAACCUUAGCUUGAUCCUCAGCUUCACAUGGCUUCCAAUGCCCUUAAUUUAAAAACAAUUAUUUCUAAAACUUGGUUAAUAGGAAUUAAUUAUAUACAAAUAUUGAAGCUGUUUUCCGGCAGAUCUCACCAAGAUCGAAGUCUAUAUUUGAUCUGAACAGUUUUGUACCUCAAACUAACAAGUGCAAAUUAAGUAAACUAAUCAUUUUCGAAUUAUAUUUUAGGAGAUCUUUUUCUUUUCAAUGUAAGAUUUUCAGCAGAAAUGACUCUUCUAACUUUUUAUCUGAUUUAAUCUAUAUAUAUAUAAAGUUAGCUUUUUCUCUCUUCUCCUUAAGCCACAUCAUCAUCCACCUCAUUUUAUUAUUUAAUUUUUAAAAUUAAUUAUACCAUUUUAUCAUUUAAUUUUAAGAUUUAAACCUAUAUAAACCUAUAUAAAGUUAGCUUUUUCUCUCUUCUCCUUAAGCCACAUCAUCAUCCACCUCAUUUUAUUAUUUAAUUUUUAAAAUUAAUUAUACCAUUUAUCAUUUAAUUUUAAGAUUUAAACCUAUAUAAAUAAAUUUAUCAAAAAUGAAUAUGAAAGGUCUUUUUUAUAGAAAUUUGGUGGUUGUGUCAGGAAAUUUGAUAAUAUUAACUUUAUAUAUAUAGAUUACAUCUUAUCUCAACAGAUAUUAGACUUACUAUAAUGUCAAAUUGUUUCUUAAUUUAUAUUUGAUUUCAAUUUUAAAUCAUUUCCUCUGCUUUCAAUUUUUGACUUGAUUAACCCGUCAGAGUUCAAAAAAAAAAAAUUAGUUUAUAUUAUUGAUCACAUUGGACAUGCUUUCCCUAAAAUUCUUGCAAAGUUGCAAUUGGCCAAAAUUUAAAAUUUAAGUUAGACGAAUUAAUAUGUAUCUUUCUUUUUUUAAGUUAAGUGAAAUAUGAUUUGAUAACUCCAACCAUCUGAGAUGAAAUAAUACAAUAUUAUCACAUGGAAAUGAAAUAAUAAACUAUAUGUCUUCGUCUGACUAAAUGAUGUUUUAGAAAUAAUGGUGACAAAGGUAUUUGUUAAAUAUAUCACAUGGACAAAGCAUGGAGGAAUAAAGAAACUCAUUCCAAUUUCGAUGUGCUUAAUUAACAAAAAUAGAUGUUUAAAUGAAAAUAGCAGGUUUUAGAAAAGAAACCUGUGAUACCUAGAUAUACAUAAUAUUUGCUUAGAUAUAGGUGCUAUACUACUAGCUUUGAUAUAACGUCAAAAAUAACUCACUCCAACUUAUUAUCCCUUGAUGAUGAAGAGUUUUUAGGUUUAACUUGCGAAAGGUGGGAUUUACGAGCUGGUCUGAAUCACUCUCUCGUCAAUCAGGAGGUCGUACAGGGAAUAGAUCAGGUGAGUGACUCGUUUAAUCAGUAGGAUAAAUGACUCACUCGAUCAAUGGACGAAUGAAGGAUGUUGAAUCACUCAACAAACUUAGUUCGCAGAUUUUGUAAGUAUUAAGUGACUCACUCAUAAAGAACUGAAAAACAAGAUUGAAAAGACUCAAACUUUGACAAGAAGAAAAAAUUUCUACUGCUUUGAAAUGAUCAAGGGUGUUUUACAAAUGAACAAUCUAAUGAGCUUAUAUAGGCUCAACUACACGUUCUAGUAGUCUAAAAGAGGUGUAUUCAAAAUGGAAUUUUAAGAGAUUUGAGUUUUUAAAUGAUUAUGAUGAUUUUAGAGAAGUUCAUAUGACUUUUGUAAAAUCCUUUUACAUCUCACCAAAAACCAUGAGAUUUGGAUUUCUGUAUUUUUAACUAAGGAAUUCCUUUCAAAUCUUCUGAAAUCCUUCAAAAUCAUUAAAAGCCAAAUCCACAAAUUGUUUUCAAUAACAGUGGAUUUGAAUGUGGAUUUUGAAAUAAUUAGUUCAAUAACAAUGGAUUUCAUGAGACUUUUUAAAAUUUAUAUUUGAAUAACACUAGAUUAAUAAGUUCUACACAAAUCUCUUAAAAUGCUACUUUGAAUACACCUCCCUAAACCAAGAAACAAAUCGCAUAAAAUUGAAGACACUAGCCGUUGGGAAUUUAUGAACCAAAUCAGCUAAAUAAGGCAAGUAGAAAGAUACCUUGAGUUUUGAAAGCUUUGGUGCGAAAACAUGAUUUCUUAAGGUGUCUAGGUUCAUUUUAGAAAGCUUCAAGAUGUACAUAAGAAAAUAAGGAAGUAGUCGUUGCAGCUUUAUCUCCUUUGGUUCCAUGUAUGAUAAGUAGUGACUCGUCGGUUUCUUGUAUGGUAAGGUGUACUAAAGGUCGUGUUGCACAAGUAUUGUUUGGUCUAAAUAUUUACAUGGUUUCCAUAUCUUAUUAUAUAAACCUUGGUUUUCAAAGUUAGCCAUUAACAAGAUCGUGACACGUGUUAAUUAUAAUUGAUAAGAUAUUGACACAUGUCGUAACUAAUUUUGUUAAUAUUUGGAUAAUAUAGAAAUAUUAUUAACCCUAUCGAAAAAAGAAAUAUAUAAAAUAAAUAUUAUUAAUAAAAUAUACAAAUAACCUAAUUUCAGUUAUGUCAAUUUGGUUUAUCAAUAAGAUAGGGAUUUAAAAUUUAUAAUUAACAAGAAUAUAUGACGAUUUUUGUUUACAGAAGAGAAUUAAGGUUUAAACUUUAAUUUUACGAUUAAAUCAGGUUAUUUGUUGGUUUGGGUAUAUAAAUGAUAAAUAAGAAUUAUGGUUUAUCUUUAUAAAUUAAAAUUAUGGUUGAAGUUUAACAAUUAAACGAGAUUAUAUGUCGAAACUUGGUUUUUAAANNNNNNNNNNNNNNNNNNNNNNNNNNNNNNNNNNNNNNNNNNNNNNNNNNNNNNNNNNNNNNNNNNNNNNNNNNNNNNNNNNNNNNNNNNNNNNNNNNNNUGCAAUAUGGUAUAUCUAAUUUUGUUAAUAUUAAGAUACAAAUAGAUUUUUUAAACAACAUUAAAAAAUAAUUAUAAAAAAUGAAAGAGAAUUUUUGAGAAAUAUCCCUUUUGGUGUAUCACUUUUCAAAAAUACCUCAUUUAUCUAUCCAUUUUCAAAAAUAUCCAUGUUUAAAUAUGAAAAAUUUUAAAGUUUUAUAUGGUUUAUAAGGCACUUUUAUAUAAUAACUACUACUUGGAAAUUUGAUACAAAUAUUUUAUAAUGUUUUAAAAGAUUCUGAAUCGUUUUUACAAGUUUUAUAAGGUUUUUAAGUGGUUUUAAAAAGGGUUUAUAAGGUUUUUAAAAGGUAUUUAUAAGUUAUUUUACGCUAUUUAUGAAAGAUAUAUAAAAAUUUUAACAUAUAUAAAGGUAAUUUGUGUGUAUAUUUAUAAGUUUACACACAUAUUUGGAUAAAUUUUAAUAUUUAUAGUUGUUUUUUUAUAAAGUUUGAAAUAGGGGUAUUUUUAAAAAGUGGUAUGGAAAAAGGAUAUUUUUGAUAAAUUAAAAAGUAAAAAAAUUGAAAUUUAUAUAAAAAAAGCGUAAGCUUAUAUAUUUAGACACAAAUUAUCUUUCUAUUUGUGUAAAUUUUAAAUACCAUAUAAAUACCUUUUAAAAACCUUUUAAAAUUAUUUAAAAAACAUAUAAAAACUUUGUAAAUCUUAUAAAAACCUUAUAAAAGUCUUAUAAAUGCCGUUUAAAACCUUUUUAAAACUUUAUAAAUAUUUGUAUUGAGUCUCCCAAUAGUAAUGAUGAUCUAGAUGUACCUUAUAAACUAUAUAAAAGUUGACAGUUUUUCAUAUUUGAAAAGGGAUAUUUUUAAAAUGGAUAGAAAAUUGGUGUAUUUUUAAAAAGAGGUACACCAAAAGGGGUAUUUCUCAAAAAUUCUCUUUUAACUAUUAACCUAAUUUUUGGUUUUGCGAGUUGUAGGUUUUACAAUUAUAAGGGUUAUAUGUUGAGUUUAUAAAUGUGCAUUAUAGUUUAGAUUUUAUUAUUAAACGAGAUUAUUUAUCGGUUUGGGUUUAUUAAAGAUGAGUGAGAUUUAGGUUUAACAAUUAAACAAGGUUAUUUCUCAGUUUGGGUUCAUAAAGGAGAAUUAGGAUUUACAAUUUACAAAUAAAUUAGAUUUUGAGUUUAACUAAAUUCAUAAUUUUAUUCAUGAUUUCUAUUUUAUAAUAUGUUAUAUUUGUUUAAUUUUUAAUUUAUGUACGAAUGUAUUAUGCCAUUGAGCAAUUUCAUUGUCUAAAACAUAAGGGUGAAUAAAAUAACAAAGUUUAAUAUAAAUCGUAAUAUAGUAAUUUUAAAAUAUUUUUAAAGAAAAUANNNNNNNNNNNNNNNNNNNNNNNNNNNNNNNNNNNNNNNNNNNNNNNNNNNNNNNNNNNNNNNNNNNNNNNNNNNNNNNNNNNNNNNNNNNNNNNNNNNNAAUUCGUAAUUGAAAUUUUUUUUAAUGUUUUCGUCAACGAUGUUGUAAUUUAUUUUAGAAUCUUUAUGUUUAUUUGCGUUGUUUAUAUGAUUUUAUUUACAAAUGACUAUAUUUGUAUUUAACAUCAUAUUUUUGAUUGAUGUUAAUUUGAAAGAACUUUACCAUCAUAUUAAAUAAUAAUUAAUUAAUUUUCAUAGUCUGAGUAUGAUUUUUUGAAAAAUUGAAAGUUAAGAAAUAACAAUUUUUACAAAAUGGUAUAAUCAUGUUUUAGAGGAUAAUUGGUAAAUUAAGAUUUUUUGAAAUAUUUUAGCAAGAUUAUGAGUAAUGGUGAAUAGCUCCCAAAUAGCUCCCAAAUGUUUUGGUGAUUGUCAGUUUGACAUUACUAGAUUUAUAUAAUUAACGUUUUAUAACGAAUUUUAUUAAAUAUAUAUUUCAAACCAAAUAAAAUCUCUUUCCAAAUGAAAUUAAUUUCUCUUAUUUUUUCAAACAAAACUUUUGAAAUUAUAUUUUUAUAAUUUAUAGUAAAUUUUAAUUUUAAUUUAAUUUUAAAUAAAGAUAACCCGUCCAUCGGACGGGUACUAUACUAGUAUAGAUAUAAAAUCUACAUUCGGUCCAAUAUUCAUUUUUUUAUCUUCAAUCGAAUUUUUUAGCUUUUUUAAUAUUUUAAAAUUCUUAUCCAAUAUAAUUAAGAGAACACUAAUACUCUAUUGUUGUAUGUGCGACCCGAUUAUAAUUCGAAAGAAUACCAAUACGUUAUCGUAUUUUGUUUUUAAUGUCUGUAUUUCACUAUGGUAAAGAUUGUACAUGAUUACAAUGCAAAUAAUUAAUCAGAAGCUGGGAUACAAAGUAGUGAAAAAGAAACUGAUUAUCGUUUAAUCGGAGAUUUGGCCAAAAUAUUUGUUGCUUUGUCGUUUGCUCUAUGUAUCUAACAAAAUUUGACUGAUUCAAAUUUUUGUUUCCAAUGUGUGGUUUCUUGAAAUCUAAUUAUAAUAAGAAAAGUUGUGAUUCCUUUUAUGUACAUAGCAUGUCAAUGACUUGUUUAGAGUCUCCUUCGAAUAUUACUCGCUGAUGUCCUUGACUCCAAGUGUGCUGCAUUGCCAUAACCAAUACAUUAUCGUUAUAUAAGUAAAAUAACCUAGAGUUUAGGAUUUAAAGUUAUAGCGAGUUUGCAUCAUGAUUUGUUAACGAAUAUUAUGAAAUGUGAAGCAUGUUUUAUUUCGUAAGAUAUUAUCCUAUUAAAAACUACAAUAAAAUCUCUACAACUUGAUACUCGACAAAUUAAUAAUCUCCAUAAAUUAAUAAUUAAAUGAAAUUAUUAAUAUAUAUAUAUAUAUGUAAUAUUUUUAGUGAAAUAUAAUUAUCAUUAUGUUAAAUAUUCUUAUAUUUACAUUAGUUUUUGUUAGCAUUCAAUUCUAAUAGAUUUCAUGUAUCAAUAAAUUUAUAGUGUUUUAUUCAUUCAUGAUGAUUGUUGUUUUUUGUUGUAAUUGAUUAUAAAAAAAAUAUUGAUUAGAAUGGUUAAAUUUUAUUUUGAGGUAUAUAUAUUUUUAAAUUUACCAAAUUAGGAAAAUAUUGAUAAAUUAAUGAUUUUAUAAAUUAAUAAAAUUUAAUGAUCCUAACAUUAUUAGUUUAUAGAGGUUUUACAGUAUUGCUUAUGUGAAUCAAAUCUUUGGGCAUCCCAAAUAUAUCGGGUCAACUUUCAAAAAGAAAAAUAUACAGCAAAAGUUCAACUUAUGUUUUCAUUUGAUUAUUGUUUAUGAUCGUUGACUUCAUGCCAUUAUUACCUGUCUGUAGUCUUACAGAAAUAUGUUUAUCUGUUUUUGUAAGAAAAUAUAUAUUAUUUAUUUUUAAUGUAUUUACCAAAAAAAUCAUAUAUAAACUAUAUAUUUAUAUAUGUUAAUCUCCUAUAAUCAUAUGAUGAGAUAAAAAAUUAUUACGUUCGUUAAGAAUUAAUUUUUCCUUAAUAAACAUGACGAUGAUCACCAAUUAGUUAAAACUCUUUGAAACCAUAUGGUCAACUUCUUUCAUUUUCACGUUUUAUAGAUAUAUUACGUAGUUAAUUAAAGAGAACAUCACUUUAAAAAAAAUUAUAUAUAUAUAUAUAUAUAUAAUUGACCAAUCAAUCGAUCAAUAUUAUAGAUACGAAUGAUUUUAGCAUGAUGAUUAUCAUAUUAUAACAUUUAAUUUAUUUUAAAGAAUAGAAAUGGCCAAUCAAUUGAUCAAUUUUAUAGAAAAGAAUGAUUUUGGCAUGAUGAUUAUCAUAUUAUAUUAUAUUAGCAUGUUCGACCUUAAUUUAUAAUCCGUAUAUAAUAAAAUAUACACCAUUAGUACACGAAACUAUAUGUUACUUAAUCAGCAAAAUGAUCAAAGUAGUAUGAUCACGUACACUAUAUCAUUACAAUAUAUCAUAGAAAUGUAUUAUCCGAAAGAGAUUGAGAUAAGUCCAAACUAGUAAAUCUAGUUUUUGGAUUUUGUAAACCCAAAAAAAAUCCAAACUAAUAUAUCUGUCCUUCUUGUAACCCUUGUUAUAUACGGAGUGAUUUUAUAAGUCCAACAAUUUAAGAAUACUAAUACAACUAUCACGUGGAAAUGAAGUAAUAAAAUUUGUCUUCGUCUGAGAGACUAAAUGAUAAUGGUGAUAUAAGUAUGCCCCGUUACAAAGGUAUUUGUUGAAGGAUAAUAUUUAUGAGACUUUGCACAAUUAGUUUCCAAAAAUAAGAUUAAUAUAUUUGAUUAUAUUUUUAACACUCGUGAAGUCCCGUACAUACAUUGGUAUAAGUUAUACUGUAUAACUAGGAACUUUGGGAGUUGUCUACUUAAUUAGUUUAGAGGAUCGACUUCAACCAUACCAAAUUUUGUUUUAUGGAUAUAUAAUUUUAUACCAGCAACUAUAGGUUUUUAAUUAAAAUUAGAACCAUAUACUACUAGACAUUACCAGCUCAUUAUAGUGUUCUUUAAUGAUCAAAUCAUAUCAAUAACAAAAUUAGUCAACUAAUCCCCUAGUAACGACAAAUUAGCUAUGAAACCUUCACAAUUCUCUCCUAGUGAAAACCCUAUAAAUACACACUAAACACUUAACCUUUCUCUCCACCCAUCUCAAACAAGCUUAAACGCACUACUACUUCUUGAGCCUUUUCCACUCCACAAAACAAAAUGGCUCCAAGAACCUCCCUUGCACUCUUCCUUUCUCUCAACCUCCUCUUCUUCACUUUCACCUCUGCGACCACAGGUACUUGUCCUAGAGACGCCCUCAAGAUCGGUGUUUGCGUCAGUGUGCUCAACAUAGUGGACCUAACAUUGGGAAACCCACCCGUACAGCCAUGCUGCUCUCUCAUCCAAGGCUUAGCUGACCUUGAGGCUGCUGUCUGCCUUUGCACUGCUCUCAAGGCUAGCGUUCUUGGAAUCAACCUUAACCUUCCCAUCAACCUCAGCGUUCUCCUCAAUGUUUGCGGUAGAAAAGCUCCAACCAACUUCCAGUGCGCUUAAGUUAAAAAUGAAGUUAUGGCAAAAAAAAAAAAAAAAAAAAAAAAAAAAAAAAUCAAUAAUCAACAAUCAAUAAUCAUAUAUACAAUGUAUGAAUAAUAAAUGAAUAAUCAUACAAUGUAUGAAUACUUGAAACCGUUAUCUUAUCUUCUUGUCUUUAUUUUAAGGUGAUUUCUUUUUUUCUUUGCAUUUGUAUUUGUAUUUGUCGUGGAUUGUUGGAAACUAACGUAUGAACGUUCUCAUGCAAUUACCCAAUAUUGGGUUUUGUGUGUAGUCGGCAAGUUUUUUCCUCCUUUGCUUCAUUGUUCCUCCAUCUCUUCUUUGUAAUUGUGUCCUUCGACGUUUAUUAAUAAAAGUAUCCAUCUUUAUGUUUUUUUUGUCUAUAUUGGUUAUCG